rnacentral:ncRNA from 1 species
GUGCAAAUAUGAACCAAUUUGAAUGGUGAAACUGCGAAUGACUCAUUAAAUCAGUUAUAGUUUGUUUGAUGGUACGUGCUACUCGGAUAACCGUACUAAUUCUAGAGAUAAUACGUGUAACAAACCACGACUUCUGGGAGGGGCGCAUUUAUUAGAUAAAACGCUGACGCGGGCUCUGCUCGCUCAUCCGGUGAUUCAUGUUAACUCGACGGAUCGCACGGCCCCACAACGACGAAGCACACCAACCGGACUAGCAGACCCUCAG